rnacentral:rRNA from 1 species
AUGUUGGGCCACCUGCUCGGUGUAGAGCGGCGCGCCGGCCUGGGUGGGGAGCGCGCCGGUGCGGCCGCCGCCCGACGCCCAGCCUGCGUCUGCCAUGGAGCCUCGCCAUUGCACACCCCGCGCCGUACCCGCCACGUCGGGCACCACGAGCAGGGGGCGCAAGACCGGCCUAGGGGGCGGCGGCGGCGGUGGCGGAGGGGACGGGGGCAGGGAGCCGGAGGAGGACGCCGAGAGGGACACCCUAGAUGCCAUGGAGAACCGGCGAGGGGAGGUGGUCGCCGGGACCGGAGUGGCCACCGGCGAGGGGGGGUGGCCGCCUGCUCCGGAGCGGACGCCGGCGCGGGCUUGGUGGACGCCGGGGUCGGGGUGGCCGCCGGCGCUAGGAGGAGAAGGAGGAGGGGCGCUAUCAAUUUCGAGCGUCUUAUGAACGAAUCUGCCGCCGGCUCAUCCUCCAAACCCGACGCCGCCUCCCUCGACCUCUCCUUCUCAGAGGAUGGAAGGAGUGGCACAUUUAUGAUUGGUAACCAGAGGUUUCCUGCAUCUCUCUUGGAUCUCCCAACCGUUGUGGAGUCAUAUAAAACAUAUGAUGAUUCCUUUUUAGUUAAAAUUGCUGAUAUUGGUCAGAUGGUAAUGGUAAGAGAAGAAGAUGAUCCUGCUCCAGAAGGAGCUGAAUACAAGCAUGGACUUACUCCUCCAAUGAGGGAUGCACGCAGGCGACGUUUUUGUAGAGAGCCUGACUUGAGUGCAGAGCUUGUUCACCGAGUUGAGAAGGAUCUUAUAAGUAUUAUGCAAGGAGUGCCUGUCAACCAGAAUGCUAGUGUAGCUGGAGGCGGUGAAGGUGGUGAUCGCAAGAAAGCUGCACCAGCUCCUGCACCCAAGCCUAACGUUCAAGAGCCUGAUCGGAGCGACUCUGAUGAGUCAGACAGCUGA